rnacentral:rRNA from 1 species
GGAUCCGAUAAUGACAUAUUGGAUGAUGACGAGGAAGCGAGCAUGUCUAGCGCUAAACCCAGUGAGAUUGAUCCAUUUGACACUGUCUACUCAAACAUUCCAGACAACACUCACAUCCUGAAGCUCGAUGAAAAUUGCAAACACUGUAAGGCCAGGAAGUUUGAGUCUGAGACUGACGGCUUUUGCUGUCCCAAUGGCCAGAUCCAGCUUAAGCAACCCGGAACCAAUCCCAGAGCUUAUGAGGCUAUGUUCCAGCAUGGAUGCAGAUUCUAG